AAGGACGCAAUGGGCAAAAUUUUCCCGAAGGAAACGGAGCCGUAGAAAGUUGAAAGAAGCCGAGACCGAGACGCCAGGAAGAAGUAGAAAGAAAGAGGCAAAACGAGGGAGGGGCAUAUGUUGCAGGGCGGCCAAAGAUCCAGACGUAGGUGCGAAGGCACGGCUAUGGGUGCCAUCGUCUUGGAUCUCCGUCCCGGCCUCGGAAUCGGACCUUUUACUCUCGGAAUGCCAAUAUGUGAAGCGUUUGCUCAUAUAGAGCAGCAACCCAACAUCUACGAUGUUGUCCAUGUGAAGUACCUUGAUGAGGAGCCUCUAAAACUGGACAUUGUUAUAAGCUUCCCUGAUCACGGUUUCCAUCUUCGUUUUGAUCCUUUGUCACAGAGGCUACGCCUUAUUGAAAUUUUUGAUAUCAAACGCCUUCAAAUGCGCUAUGCCACUUCUCUGAUUGGGGGACCUUCCACUCUAGCUACUUUUGUGGCUGUGUAUGCUCUUUUUGGACCAACAUUUCCUGGAAUUUAUGACAAAGAUAGAUGUGUUUACACGCUAUUCUAUCCGGGAUUAUCCUUUGCCUUCCCAAUUCCGUCUCAGUAUACAGAUUGCUUGCAUGAUCGAGAAGCGGAGCUUCCAUUGGAGUUUCCGGAUGGUACUACACCUGUCACAUGCCGUGUCUCUAUAUAUGAUAGCUCCACAGAUAGUAAAGUUGGUGUUGGUUCUUUGAUGGACAAGGCUUCUCCUCCUCCUCUGCCUGCUGGCAGCCUUUACAUGGAAGAGGUGCAUGUUAAGCUUGGGGAAGAGUUGUGGUUUACCAUUGGUGGGCAGCAUAUUCCCUUUGGUGCAUCGCCACAGGAUGUGUGGACUGAAUUGGGUCGCCCUUGUGGAAUUCAUCAAAAGCAGGUAGAUCAAAUGGUGAUUCAUUCUGCCUCUGAUCCUCGGCCACGGACAACACUUUGUGGUGAUUAUUUCUACAAUUAUUUUACUCGUGGAUUGGACAUCUUGUUUGAUGGGCAGACUCAUAAAAUCAAGAAGUUUGUUUUGCAUACCAACUACCCUGGACAUGCAGAUUUUAAUUCAUACAUAAAGUGCAAUUUUGUCAUCUACGGAUCUGAUUCUGGCGGGUCUUUUCAUCAAGAACUAAAUACCUCUAAGCGGUGCAUUACACCUAGCACGAAAUGGGAACAAGUGAAGGAGAUUCUUGGGGACUGCGGCCGAGCUGCAAUACAGACACAAGGUUCUGCAAGCAAUCCUUUUGGAUCUACUUUUGUGUAUGGAUAUCAGAAUGUUGCUCUUGAGGUUAUGAAGAAUGGUUAUAUUGCAACUGUAACUCUCUUCCAAUCAUGAAGUAAUAUUUGUGCCAGCAAUUUAACCAUGCUUUUCACGAAGAGUCAUGCCAAAUUAACUACCUUAAGUAGAUAAGGCUGGGUUGUACAGACAAGGGUUUCAAAGCAGCCACUAGUGCACGUGGCCGACUUGUUUAUAAUUGUACAGUUAAAUCAUGUGUAUAGUUGACUCAGUGUAUCACAAUUCACACAAUGUAAUUUGUGUAAUCAAAUACGGAAGAAGUUUCCUCAGUGCAUUGCACCUUUUCAUAAAUCACGUAUUCUUUUUCUGAA